rnacentral:piRNA from 1 species
UGAAUAGGGACAGAAUUACACUCUGGUU